UACGGAGGAUCCGAGCGUUAUCCGGAUUUAUUGGGUUUAAAGGGUGCGCAGGCGGAAGAUUAAGUCGGUGGUGAAAUUUUGCAGCUCAACUGUAAAAGUGCCAUUGAUACUGGUUUUCUUGAGUGUGGAUGAAGUAGGCGGAAUUUGUGGUGUAGCGGUGAAAUGCAUAGAUAUCACGAGGAACUCCGAUUGCGCAGGCAGCUUACUAGGCCAUAACUGACGCUCAGGCACGAAGGCGUGGGGAUCAAACAGGAUUAGAUA
rnacentral:rRNA from 1 species